AGUGAACGCUGGCGGUAGGCCUAACACAUGCAAGUCGAACGGCAGCACAGUAAGAGCUUGCUCUUACGGGUUGCGAGUGGCGGACGGGUGAGGAAUACAUCGGAAUCUACUUUUUCGUGGGGGAUAACGUAGGGAAACUUACGCUAAUACCGCAUACGACCUACGGGUGAAAGCAGGGGAUCUUCGGACCUUUCGCGAUUGAAUGAGCCGAUGUCGGAUUAGCUAGUUGGCGGGGUAAAGGCCCACCAAGGCGACGAUCCGUAGCUGGUCUGAGAGGAUGAUCAGCCACACUGGAACUGAGACACGGUCCAGACUCCUACGGGAGGCAGCAGUGGGGAAUAUUGGACAAUGGGCGCAAGCCUGAUCCAGCCAUACCGCGUGGGUGAAGAAGGCCUUCGGGUUGUAAAGCCCUUUUGUUGGGAAAGAAAAGCAGCAGGUUAAUACCCCGCUGUUCUGACGGUACCCAAAGAAUAAGCACCGGCUAACUUCGUG
rnacentral:rRNA from 1 species